AUUGAACGCUGGCGGCAGGCCUAACACAUGCAAGUCGAGCGGCAGCGGAAAGUAGCUUGCUACUUUGCCGGCGAGCGGCGGACGGGUGAGUAAUGUCUGGGAAACUGCCUGAUGGAGGGGGAUAACUACUGGAAACGGUAGCUAAUACCGCAUGACCUCGAAAGAGCAAAGUGGGGGAUCUUCGGACCUCACGCCAUCGGAUGUGCCCAGAUGGGAUUAGCUAGUAGGUGAGGUAAUGGCUCACCUAGGCGACGAUCUCUAGCUGGUCUGAGAGGAUGACCAGCCACACUGGAACUGAGACACGGUCCAGACUCCUACGGGAGGCAGCAGUGGGGAAUAUUGCACAAUGGGCGCAAGCCUGAUGCAGCCAUGCCGCGUGUGUGAAGAAGGCCUUAGGGUUGUAAAGCACUUUCAGCGAGGAGGAAGGCAUCAUACUUAAUACGUGUGGUGAUUGACGUUACUCGCAGAAGAAGCACCGGCUAACUCCGUGCCAGCAGCCGCGGUAAUACGGAGGGUGCAAGCGUUAAUCGGAAUUACUGGGCGUAAAGCGCACGCAGGCGGUUUGUUAAGUCAGAUGUGAAAUCCCCGCGCUUAACGUGGGAACUGCAUUUGAAACUGGCAAGCUAGAGUCUUGUAGAGGGGGGUAGAAUUCCAGGUGUAGCGGUGAAAUGCGUAGAGAUCUGGAGGAAUACCGGUGGCGAAGGCGGCCCCCUGGACAAAGACUGACGCUCAGGUGCGAAAGCGUGGGGAGCAAACAGG
rnacentral:rRNA from 1 species